AUACGUAGGGAGCGAGCGUUGUCCGGAAUUACUGGGCGUAAAGGGAGCGUAGGCGGGAGUGCAAGUCAGAUGUGAAAUACAUGGGCUCAACCCAUGGGCUGCAUUUGAAACUGCAUUUCUUGAGUGAAGUAGAGGUAAGCGGAAUUCCUGGUGUCGCGGUGAAAUGCGUAGGUAUUAGGAGGAACACCGGUGGCGAAGGCGGCUUACUGGGCUUGUACUGACGCUGAGGGUCGAAAGCGUGGGGAGCAAACAGGAUUAGAUACCCUGGUAGUCCACGCUGUAAACGAUGAUUACUAGGUGUGGGGGGACUGACCCCUUCCGUGCCGCAGUUAACACAAUAAGUAAUCCACCUGGGGAGUACGGCCGCAAGAUUGAAACUCAAAUGAAUUGGCGGGG
rnacentral:rRNA from 1 species